AGAGACAGCAGUCGCCGCGGUAAUACGUAGGUCCCGAGCGUUGUCCGGAUUUAUUGGGCGUAAAGCGAGCGCAGGCGGUUAGAUAAGUCUGAAGUUAAAGGCUGUGGCUUAACCAUAGUACGCUUUGGAAACUGUUUAACUUGAGUGCAAGAGGGGAGAGUGGAAUUCCAUGUGUAGCGGUGAAAUGCGUAGAUAUAUGGAGGAACACCGGUGGCGAAAGCGGCUCUCUGGCUUGUAACUGUCGCUGAGGCUCGAAAGCGUGGGGAGCAAGCAGGAUUAGAUACCCCUGUAGUCCCUGUCUCUUAUACA
rnacentral:rRNA from 1 species